rnacentral:rRNA from 1 species
GGGGGCUCGCAAGAGUCAACCGGCGAACGGGUGCGUAACACGUAAGCGACCUGCCCUGGAGUGGGGGAUAGCCGGCUCAACGGCCGGGUAAUACCGCAUACGACGGUCUGGGGGCAUAUCCGGACUGUGAAACCUGCGGGGCUCUGGGAGGGGCUUGCGGCCUAUCAGCUAGUUGGCGGGGUAACGGCCCACCAAGGCGAUGACGGGUAGCUGGUCUGAGAGGAUGGCCGGCCACAUUGGGACUGAGAGACGGCCCAGACUCCUACGGGAGGCAGCAGUGGGGAAUCUUGCGCAACGGCCGAAAGGCUGACGCAGCGACGCCGCGUGGAGGAUGACGCCCUUCGGGGUGUAAACUCCUGUUGCCCGGGACGAACGACCCUUUUCGAGGGGUGUGACGGUACCGGGUGAGGAAGCACCGGCUAACUCUGUGCCAGCAGCCGCGGUAAUACAGAGGGUGCGAGCGUUGUCCGGAAUCACUGGGCGUAAAGGGCGCGUAGGCGGCUGGGUAAGCGUGUGGUGAAAGUCCGGGGCUCAACCCCGGAUCGGCCAUGCGAACUGUCCAGCUGGAGCACGGUAGAGGCACAUGGAAUUCCGGGUGUAGCGGUGGAAUGCGUAGAGAUCCGGAAGAACACCGGUGGCGAAGGCGGUGUGCUGGGCCGUAGCUGACGCUGAGGCGCGACAGCGUGGGGAGCAAACAGGAUUAGAUACCCUGGUAGUCCACGCCGUAAACGAUGGGCACUAGGUCCU